CGGGAGGCGAAAUUUGCAUCAUGUAUUUUAAGAAACUGUUUUGCCAUUUCAGCAGAUGAUGCCACAAGAACUGGCCUGGACCCAAAUUUUAGCAGCAUCAGCUCUCCAUAUUUUUUGGAAAGCAAGUCAAAAGAUUGAUGCGGGAUAGGACCAAGUAGGUUCAAAUUGCCAAUUAUUGGCCAUGGUUUUGGACCCGGUGGUAGCUUCCUGUUAACUGGGCGUCGACAAGUGCUAACUUUACAGAGAAAAGCUAAUACAACUACUCCUGCGAAGGCUACAAAAACCUCCAUGUUUAAUUUUUGUGAUGGAUGAUGACAAG
rnacentral:misc_RNA from 1 species